GACGAACGCUGGCGGCGUGCCUAAUACAUGCAAGUAGAACGCUGAAGAGAGGAGCUUGCUCUUCUUGGAUGAGUUGCGAACGGGUGAGUAACGCGUAGGUAACCUGCCUUGUAGCGGGGGAUAACUAUUGGAAACGAUAGCUAAUACCGCAUAACAAUGGAUGACCCAUGUCAUUUAUUUGAAAGGGGCAAAUGCUCCACUACAAGAUGGACCUGCGUUGUAUUAGCUAGUAGGUGAGGUAACGGCUCACCUAGGCGACGAUACAUAGCCGACCUGAGAGGGUGAUCGGCCACACUGGGACUGAGACACGGCCCAGACUCCUACGGGAGGCAGCAGUAGGGAAACUUCGGCAAUGGGGGCAACCCUGACCGAGCAACGCCGCGUGAGUGAAGAAGGUUUUCGGAUCGUAAAGCUCUGUUGUAAGUCAAGAACGAGUGUGAGAGUGGAAAGUUCACACUGUGACGGUAGCUGACCAGAAAGGGACGGCUAACUACGUG
rnacentral:rRNA from 1 species